rnacentral:rRNA from 1 species
GAUGAACGCUGGCGGCGUGCCUAAUACAUGCAAGUCGAUCGAACAGACGAGGAGCUUGCUCCUCUGACGUUAGCGGCGGACGGGUGAGUAACACGUGGAUAACCUACCUAUAAGACUGGGAUAACUUCGGGAAACCGGAGCUAAUACCGGAUAACAUGUUGAACCGCAUGGUUCAACAGUGAAAGACGGUCUUGCUGUCACUUAUAGAUGGAUCCGCGCCGCAUUAGCUAGUUGGUAAGGUAACGGCUUACCAAGGCAACGAUGCGUAGCCGACCUGAGAGGGUGAUCGGCCACACUGGAACUGAGACACGGUCCAGACUCCUAGGGGAGGCAGCAGUAGGGAAGCUUCCGCAAUGGGCGAAAGCCUGACGGAGCAACGCCGCGUGAGUGAAGAAGGUCUUCGGAUCGGAAAACUCUGUUAUUAGGGAAGAACAAAUGUGUAAGUAACUAUGCACGUCUUGACGGUACCUAAUCAGAAAGCCACGGCUAACUACGUG